UAUGUAGGGAGCAAGCGUUGUCCGGAUUUAUUGGGCGUAAAGAGCUCGUAGGCGGUUAAGUAAGUCAGGUGUGAAACCUCCAGGCUCAACCUGGAGACGCCACUUGAUACUGCUUUGACUUGAGUUCGGUAGGGGAUCACGGAAUUCCUGGUGUAGCGGUGAAAUGCGCAGAUAUCAGGAGGAACACCGGUGGCGAAGGCGGAUCUCUGGGCCUUACCUGACGCUCAGGCACGAAAGCUAGGGGAGCGAACAGG
rnacentral:rRNA from 1 species